UGCUGCAUGUACAUUAUACCAUUUGUAUUUGUGCAAACAUUGGCGUGCUUUGCUGUAACAUCCCAAAUUUCAAAACCCUUCAUAUGCAUUGCAUAUCAUAAGCAUCAUGUCACCUUUGCAUUUGAUCACAUUUGAAAACCCUAAAAUUUACCGUGAGAAUCCCUAUUCAAAAGUGUUUUUAUUUGAUUUUGAGCUUUGAUCUUGCUUUCAAGCAUUUUUGUUUUAACCCAUGAAGGUAUUGGUAUAAAAAGGAAUUUAAUGCAUAUAUAAAGCUAUCCCAUAUGUUUGUCUUUUGAAAUUAUUUCGAAAAACAAUUUAUUUUGAUAUUCUAUAAGGCCCUAAAGGCUAUUCUAUAGUCAAAAGUAUUUUUAAAUAUUUUAUUUUGAGAAAUUUUUUAUUCCAGAAGUUAGAUCAUAUGAAGAUAUGAUUUUACAAAUUUUGUUGAAAUUUAUUUGGAGUGAUUUGGAGUUUUGAAUCAAUUCUGAGGUUCAAAAACAAAAAAUAGAAAAAAGAAAAAAAAAACCGAGCCGAACCGGACCGGACCGAACCGGCCCAGCCCGAGCCGCCAGACGCCCCCACUGACCAGCGGGCCCCCUCCUCCUUCUUCCUCCAACUGCACCCGAAGUUCACGGCCACGCACGAGUCCGCGUCGCGCACGAUUCCAUCCUGAUUUCUCCGCGCACGAGCCUCUACUCCCGAAACCCCGCGCGUCAUCUCGAGCCCCACCCUCUUCUCCUCCUUUUCCCCCAACUCCCACAGUCAAUUUCGCACCUUCAGCACCGGAAUUUCUCGCCGGAGCAAACCUUCGGGCGCCGCCAUUUUCGCGAAGCCGCCACCGCCCCGGUGAGUUCCGCGCACCGGCAACCCCCUCAUCCUUCUCCCCUCUCUCGCGCGCACUGUCUGACGCGUGCCGUUUUGUUUUUGGAGCUCCGCAGCGCCCCGUCGCCGGCCACCGCCAGCCGCCCGCGCCCGUCGUCCUACCGCGUCGUCCCCGAGCCGUCCCCGACCACACCGACCACGCCGUCCGCCGCCUCC
rnacentral:lncRNA from 1 species